rnacentral:rRNA from 1 species
GUAGGGGGCAAGCGUUGUCCGGAUUUACUGGGUGUAAAGGGUGCUCAGGUGGACUUUUAAGUCAGAGGUGAAAUCCCAAAGCUUAACUUUGGAGCUGCCUUUGAUACUGAAAGUCUUGAGUUUGAGAGAGGGCAAUGGAAUAUCUGGUGUAGCAGUGAAAUGCGUAGAUAUCAGAUAGAACACCAAUGGCGAAGGCAGUUGCCUGGCUCAAAACUGACGCUAAAGCACGAAAGUGUGGGGAGCAAACAGGAUUAGAUACCCUGGUAGUCCACACCCUAAACGAUGAAUACUAGAUGUUGGUCUUUUUUAAGAUCAGUAUCCAAGCUAACGCAUUAAGUAUUCCACCUGGGAAGUACAAUCGCAAGGUUG